UCCCACCCAGGCCCUCCUGACCAGCAGUGGAAGACUCUCCUUGCCUGUCAUCAUCUGCAUCGUCCUGGGAGCCCUGCUCUGCCUGCUCCUGGCCCUCCUGGUCGGGCAUGUGCGAGGCGCCAGGGCUGAGCGCAGAGGCUUCGACAGAACCUGGGAGCCCUUCUCUGAGGCCGUGUACGAGGAGAUCGGGUACAGCCCAGUGUGGGAGAAGCAGGCGGGGUUCAGCGGCUCAGGCUCCCAUUCCGAGGGGUCCCUCCCAGAGCUGCAGCCCCACCCCAGAAACAGCAAGGAGGAGGAAGAUGGCCCGGGGUCAGCACCAGGUACCGGAG